rnacentral:rRNA from 1 species
CUCUUGCGCGGAUAAUGUACCGGGGCUAAGCAUAUUACCGAAACUGUGGAUGCGUAAGCAUGGUAGGAUAGCGUAAUUAACGCGAUGAAGGAUGACCGUAAGGACAUGUUGGAGCGUUAACUAGUGAGAAUUCCGGUAUGAGUAGCGAAAGAUAGGUGAGAAUCCUAUCCACCGAAUGAGUAAGGUUUCCCCCGGAAGGCUCGUCCGCGGGGGGUUAGUCGGGACCUAAGGCGAGGCUGAAAAGCGUAGUCGAUGGACAACAGGUUGAUAUUCCUGUACCGAUAUUUAAUUGCCGAAGGAAGGACGCAGAAGGAUAACACAGGCCACUAUUGGAUGUGGUUUUAAACAGUUAGUCUUCAUAAGAGUCAAAUGCUUUUAUGUUUAAGGAUAAGCUGUGAAUGUACCAAGUUUACUUGGAAAUUGUGUGAUUUCACGCUGCUGAAAAAAGUUUCGUAGGAAGAAAAUAUUGCCCGUACCGCAAACCGACACAGGUACUCAAGUGGAGAACACUAAGGUGAGCGAGUGAACUAUUGUUAAGGAACUCUGCAAAAUGAGUCCGUACUUCGGAAGAAGGACUGCUGGUUUUAUACCAGCCGCAGCAAAUAGGCCCAAACAA